rnacentral:rRNA from 1 species
UACAGAGGUCUCGAGCGUUGUUCGGAUUCAUUGGGCGUAAAGGGUGCGUAGGUGGCAGGGUAAGUCGGAUGUGAAAUCCCGGGGCUCAACCUCGGAACUGCAUUCGAUACUGCUUUGCUUGAGUACUGGAGAGGAGAUUGGAAUUUACGGUGUAGCAGUGAAAUGCGUAGAUAUCGUAAGGAAUACCAGUGUCGAAGGCGGAUCUCUGGACAGUUACUGGCACUGAGGCACGAAGUCCACCGGAGCAAACUCG